rnacentral:rRNA from 1 species
CCUGGGAACUGCGUUNUGAGCUGGGUGACUAGAGUGUNUCAGAGGGAGGUAGAAUUCCACGUGUAGCAGUGAAAUGCGUAGAGAUGUGGAGGAAUACCGAUGGCGAAGGCAGCCUCCUGGGAUAACACUGACGUUCAUGCCCGAAAGCGUGGGUAGCAAACAGGAUUAGAUACCCUGGUAGUCCACGCCCUAAACGAUGUCGAUUAGCUGUUGGGCAGCAUGACUGCUUAGUAGCGAAGCUAACGCGUGAAAUCGACCGCCUGGGGAGUACGGUCGCAAGAUUAAAACUCAAAGGAAUUGACGGGGACCCGCACAAGCGGUGGAUGAUGUGGAUUAAUUCGAUGCAACGCGAAGAACCUUACCUGGUCUUGACAUGUACGGAACCCUCCAGAGACGGAGGGGUGCCUUCGGGAGCCGUAACACAGGUGCUGCAUGGCUGUCGUCAGCUCGUGUCGUGAGGUGUUGGGUUAAGUCCCGCAACGAGCGCAACCCUUGUCAUUAGUUGCCAUCAUUAAGUUGGGCACUCUAAUGAGACUGCCGGUGACAAGCCGGAGGAAGGUGGGGAUGACGUCAAGUCCUCAUGGCCCUUAUGACCAGGGCUUCACACGUCAUACAAUGGUCGGUACAGAGGGUAGCCAAGCCGCGAGGUGGAGCCAAUCUCACAAAACCGAUCGUAGUCCGGAUUGCACUCUGCAACUCGAGUGCAUGAAGUCGGAAUCGCUAGUAAUCGCAGGUCAGCAUACUGCGGUGAAUACGUUCCCGGGUCUUGUACACA